rnacentral:rRNA from 1 species
UACAGAGGUCCCAAGCGUUGUUCGGAUUCACUGGGCGUAAAGGGUGCGUAGGUGGUCGGGUAAGUCUGAUGUGAAAUCUCUGGGCUCAACCCAGAAAUGGCAUUGGAUACUAUUCGGCUAGAGGAGUGGAGGGGGGACUGGAAUACUUGGUGUAGCAGUGAAAUGCGUAGAUAUCAAGUGGAACACCAGUGGCGAAGGCGAGUCCCUGGACACUUCCUGACACUGAGGCACGAAAGCGUGGGGAGCAAACAGG